AAAUUAAUUAAUAUGAACACAUGAAUUUGAUCACAUUUGAUUUGGUCGAGGACGAGGCUCGAGAAAAGGAGGUGAAAAUGUCAAGUUUUUCUGCUCCAACAGACUCAAACACUUUAUGAAUAAAUAUGACAUGGUGAACAAAAACUGGAAUAAAAAAGGUAAUACAUUGAAUUUUUUACUUUUUUUUACUGUUUCAAUGGUUAGGGUUGAAGUUGUUUAAGAGAUUUGAGUCAAAAAAAGUAAAAACAAAGUAAAAAAAUGAUAAUUUUAUAAACAUUUAUCUUCAUGUCUGUUUUUGAGACGAAGUGGAAUGGAUGAAGUUUCAAAUCAACAAAAACCGAGGGUGAAGAAACGUCAUUUUAAGAUUUUUAAGUGUUCUCAACCUCAUCGAUUCAUCAAUUCAUCAAUAUUUAUCUAUACAGAGAUCUCUAUUUUUACUGAGACCAACAUCAGGACUGGAUCAGACUGAGACCACCUCCUCACAGAUCAGAUCCACUUCUAUCACCUAACCUUCAACCACAGGAGAGAAAGACUUUAUUUAACAGGCGGAAACCUCGAGGAGGACCAGACUGAUGUUAGACCGUCAUCUGCUGAGACUGAGCUGAGUUUAGAGAGGAGGGACUGAUCCACAGGUCCACAUUAGCUAAACAUCUGAAGCAGCGAUCCAGAGGAACCUACAGGAUGAUGGAGCUUAGUAUGGAAAUAUAAUCAUGUUGAUCGUAUUUAUCUUUAUUGUUCACAAAAUAUCAAAGCUGAAACUUUGACUCCAGGCUUGACUGACCUUCUAAAGCUCCACAGACAGACAGACAGACAGACAGACGGACAGACAGACAGACAGACAGACAGACAGACAGACGGACAGACGGACGGACAGACAGACAGACAGACAGACAGACAGACAGACAGACGGAGGUCCAGCUCCUCUCUGAAGUGAUUUUUUAUCCUGUUUUCCUCACAAACAGAUCAAAUAUAUCUGCUGUUUUUCGCUCUCUUCGUUCUGUCUAACCCCUCGCCUGAAGGAAACACAAACUCGUUCAUCUUGAUUGUCACAAAACGACCUGAGUGAUCCAUCUCGGAGCAGAUGAAUGGACUCCUGCAGGCUGCAAACGUAAUCAGAGCGGCUCUCUAAUGGUGGAUAGUUGUAUUAGCGGCUGCUGCUAAAAGCCAUGAGGCCAGUGUCAGAUGAGGGGAAAUACAACAUCAUUACAGCUCUACAGCACAGACGUGGAUCAGUCUCUGAUAACAUUAAAGUCCAGCUUCCUUUGUGCGGCGGCGGUCUGCUCUCCAACACUCUAACUGCUUUUGGCGUGAGCCAGACGAGCGCCCGGCUUUGAAGCUGCAGAGUCACAGCGAGGAGGAGCGGGCGCUCAGCUGAUGAUGGUGACAGAGCCAGAGUGUGUGUGUGUGUGUGUGUGUGUGUGUGUGAGGUGGAGGUGCUGCUCGCUGUGUGAUGUAAUUAAAGCUUCACUAAGAAAGGAGAUUAUUUCUGUAAGAGGAGUGAAGUGAGCGAGCUCUGCUGCAGGAGGUUAGAUGGACAGCAGAGUUCAGGUCUGGACGGUUUAUGAACGAGAACUUCAAAGUCAGAGAAGACGGUAAACACAGAACUGGAGCUGCUGAGGAGAGACGCUGCUGAGAGUCUGGAAGAACCGGGUCUUAUUGAAACCAGAGGGACUCAAAACACUCUCACAGUUUCCUGAUAGUUUGAACGUUUGGACAGGAAGUGUUCAGAGUUUAGGGAUUCUGAUUCUCUUAUCGAUUCUCAGUGAGUGAGACAUAAGAUCAUAUAAAUGAUUUGUUCUCAUUAACUCUUAAAAACUGAGUUUAUAAUAAUAAUAAUAAUAAUAAUAAUAAUAAUAAUAAUAAUAAUAAAUCUAUGGUGGCAAAAGGAGACGAACAAGUAAAAGGUUUUUAGACGUCAUUUCACCCCGAUGACACCAUGGAUGAGGAGAUGCUGAUUCUAGAAGUCUAGAAGUAGAUUUCCUCCUCUGGAAGGACACAAUCUACUGCUUAUAUGUCUAUGUGUCUGUCUUUAGAGAGACAACUUGUUAUCGUGAGAUUGAAUGUGAAUCUGUCCGUAAUCCGCCACGAAAUUCGCCUCACAAACAGAUCUGGUAGGAAUUGGCAGACAGCGAAAAUCGCCACCGUUCCAGAUGUGGUGAAAAUUGGCGGUAAGACCACAAAUCUGCUGAAAGCUCGGUGACACUCGUUUAUCUUCGCCUCCGUCAUUUUACUCCUGCCUCGAUGAAAAGGGACCGCCAAAGGUUAGCUACCCGCUGCAGCCUCUGAGCUAGCAGGACUCUCUAAAUGUAAUUUAAGGAGAUAGAAAGUAUUUUUAGUAAAAGGGGGUUAGCAUGGUGCUAACAUCUACAACAGACCAGGACCUGGAGGAGUUCAACGUUACCUUGAUGACGUCAAGAUGUUAGCUCCGCUCCUGUUUUUGCCUGGAUCAAACACAUUACACUUCCACAGAUUAUUUACAUGCUGGGUGGACAAACGUUUCCAUUCUUAGGAACCGAAUCACUGAGAACCGGUUCUAAAAAAGACCCGGUUCUUGAUUCUCAUCCUGAGUUACACGUGUGGUUCAGUGGAGCUUCAGUCUGAGCUCCAUCAGCUGAUUUCACUGGACUAUGUUUACACGCACCGACGGACAGAUUCAUGUCCACCUGCGAAAAAACAUACGAGAAAGAAGCUUCAGUAAGAUUUUGUUUACUAAUCGGUUUCCUAGCAACACAUUUAUGUUUUUCAUCUCCCAGGUAAAAGCUCAGCGUGAAAACACCCAAAACACUAACAGC